CGCAAAACCCAUUCAUACUGCUCGCCGUUUCCUCCAUCUGUUAGAUGAGAAGCUCUUCUUCCACUUUGCAACCUCGAUCACUAUGCCUAGGUGGUUAUUCAGAUUGACAGAUCGGCUCGUUCUCUCUCUCUCUCUCUCUCUCUCUCUCACACACACACAUCUUUGAACCCAGAUCUGAUCUUGAUUUAAGAAGUAGAUCUACUUCUUAUUCCAGGUCUGUUCUUUGAUCCCUUAUCCCAAUUCUUUAUAUUCAAUUUGUUAUUGGAUCUUGAAUUAUUUUGCUCUUACUCUCUCCUCUUAUGCUUCACCACCGAGGCCCGACCGCCGGCGUUGUACUCUGGCUUGGGGCCUACUAAGGCCGGCGAGAAGCCGAGGGUGCUGGUGCUGGGGACGGGGUGGGCUGGGUGUCGGCUCAUGAAGGGGUUGGACACGAAGCUAUACGACGUCGUUUGCGUCUCGCCGAGGAAUCACAUGGUGUUCACGCCGCUGCUGGAUCCACAUGUGUGGGGACUGUGGAGUUUAGGUCGGUGGCAGAGCCAACUGGGAGGAUCCAACCUGCCAUUUCGAGGGAGCCAGGGUCGUAUUUCUUUCUGUCCAAUUGUACUGGGCUCGAUACGGAUAAGCAUUUGAAUCGUUGUGGUUUGUACUAAGAAGUCCCGUGGGUGAAAUGGGUCUUCAUCUAUGUCCCGCGCGCUGGAGACGAAGUUUACUACUUCCCUCAGGGCCACAUUGAACAGCAGACGAAUGGGAAGAUGAAGAGAAGGCGAAGAUGGAGAAAUGAAGACUGAUUCUGGAGUGAACAAGUAUAUUUUUUAUAUUGUAUGAACAAUUCAUUGUAUUUAAUGUUUCAAUUUGAUGGGUUUGAUUUAGUUUUGCUUGAGUAAUUUGCUGUAAAUUUGAUGAUUCCAAUACUAUAAUUUUUUUUUUAUUGUAUUGUGAGGCUUUACACAGAUUUUGAUUUAUCCGUGUGAUUAUUGUCAUCGUUCA